rnacentral:rRNA from 1 species
CAGUCGCCGCGGGAAUACGUAGGGGGCAAGCGUUAUCCGGAAUUACUGGGUGUAAAGGGAGCGUAGACGGUUAAACAAGUCUGAAGUGAGAUGCCGGGGCUCAACCCCGGAGCUGCUUUGGGAACUGUAGAACUGGAGUGUCGGAGGGGUAAGCGGAAUUCCCAGUGUAGCGGUGAAAUGCGUAGAUAUUGGGAGGAACACCGGCGGCGAAGGCGGCUUACUGGACGACAACUGACGUUGAGGCUCGAAGGCGUGGGUAGCAAACAGGAUUAGAUACCCGAGAGUCCCUGUCUCUUAUACA